rnacentral:miRNA from 1 species
GUGAGUUUCUUUUACAUCAAG